rnacentral:rRNA from 1 species
CCUACGGGAGGCAGCAGUGGGGAAUAUUGGACAAUGGGGGCAACCCUGAUCCAGCCAUGCCGCGUGUGUGAAGAAGGCCCUCGGGUUGUAAAGCACUUUCAGUGAGGAAGAACGCCUGGUGGUUAAUACCCAUCAGGAAAGACAUCACUCACAGAAGAAGCACCGGCUAACUCCGUGCCAGCAGCCGCGGUAAUACGGAGGGUGCGAGCGUUAAUCGGAAUUACUGGGCGUAAAGCGCGCGUAGGUGGCUUGAUAAGCCGGUUGUGAAAGCCCCGGGCUCAACCUGGGAACGGCAUCCGGAACUGUCAAGCUAGAGUGCAGGAGAGGAAGGUAGAAGUCCCGGUGUAGCGGUGAAAUGCGUAGAGAUCGGGAGGAAUACCAGUGGCGAAGGCGGCCUUCUGGACUGACACUGACACUGAGGUGCGAAAGCGUGGGUAGCAAACAGGAUUAGAUACCCCAGUAGUC